rnacentral:rRNA from 1 species
GUGGAUUAGAUACCCUAGUAGUCCUAGCCGUAAACGAUGGGCACUAGGUGUGGGGGGUCAUCAACUCCCUCCGUGCCGCAGCUAACGCAUUAAGUGCCCCGCCUGGGGAGUACGGCCGCAAGGCUAAAACUCAAAGGAAUUGACGGGGGCCCGCACAAGCAGCGGAGCAUGUGGCUUAAUUCGAAGCAACGCGAAGAACCUUACCAGGGCUUGACAUGCAGAGUAAAACGGCGGAAACGUCGCGUCCGAGAGGGCUCUGCACAGGUGGUGCACGGCUGUCGUCAGCU